GACGAACGCUGGCGGCGUGCCUAACACAUGCAAGUCGUACGGGACCGGGGGCAACUCCGGUUCAGUGGCAGACGGGUGCGUAACACGUGAGGAACUUGUCCGGUGGCGGGGGAUAGCCGGCCCAACGGCCGGGUAAUACCGCAUACGCUCGUUCGGGGGCAUCCCUGGGCGAGGAAAGCAGCCGCAAGGUUGCGCCGACGGAGGGCCUCGCGACCUAUCAGCUUGUUGGCGGGGUAACGGCCCACCAAGGCGACGACGGGUAGCUGGUCUGAGAGGAUGAUCAGCCACAUUGGGACUGAGACACGGCCCAGACUCCUACGGGAGGCAGCAGUGGGGAAUAUUGCGCAAUGGCCGCAAGGCUGACGCAGCGACGCCGCGUGUGGGAUGACGGUCUUCGGAUUGUAAACCACUGUCAGGGGGAACGAAUACAGGGCUUCGAUAAGGAGACCCUGGGUGACGGUACCUCCAAAGGAAGCACCGGCUAACUCCGUGC
rnacentral:rRNA from 1 species